CAUACCAUUUGCAAAAGUAGACAACCCAAGGUAUUGCAAAUUGGGUAUGUCCAGUCUUUUUUAGUAGCCACUUAGUCACAAACACUGGCCAAAAUUAGCUUUCAAUUUAGUUUUUUUGCAUUUUUCACAAUCAACAAAUAUGAACGCUAAUUUUGGCCAGUGUUUGUGACUAAGUGGCUACUAAAAAAGACUGGACAUACCCCAUUUGUAAUACCUUGGGUUGUCUACUUUUGCAAAUGGUAUG
rnacentral:miRNA from 1 species